rnacentral:tRNA from 1 species
GUAUAUAUAGCUCAGUGGUAGGGUGCAUGCUUAGCAUGCAUGAGGUCCUGGGUUCAAUCCCCAGCACCUCCG